rnacentral:misc_RNA from 1 species
ACAACGACCCUGGCCGCGCCCUCGCGAUGGAAGGUUUCAGCAAGCGCCUGACCGAUGCCAUUCGCGCCGCCGGUGACGACGACGAUUUUUCCUGCAACUUUCAUACGGAUGUUUUAGAAGGGAAAGGUGGAGAGAUCAAUUGGCCUGCAGUCCAGCCUGCAAUGCGAACGCCCGUUCAGGCCGUCAUUGCGAGCGAAACGAAGA